rnacentral:rRNA from 1 species
AUUGAACGCUGGCGGAAUGCUUUACACAUGCAAGUCGAACGGUAGAGGGGGCAACCCCUCGAGAGUGGCGAACGGGUGAGUAAUAUAUCGGAACGUGCCCAGUCGUGGGGGAUAACGUAGCGAAAGUUACGCUAAUACCGCAUACGAUCUAAGGAUGAAAGCGGGGAUCGCAAGACCUCGCGCGCUUGGAGCGGCCGAUAUCAGAUUAGGUAGGUGGUGGGGUAAAGGCUCACCAAGCCAACGAUCUGUAGCUGGUCUGAGAGAACGACCAGCCACACUGGAACUGAGAAACGGUCCAGACUCCUACGGGAGGCAGCAGUGGGGAAUUUUGGACAAUGGACGCAAGUCUGAUCCAGCCAUUCCGCGUGCAGGAUGAAGGCUCUCGGGUUGUAAACUGCUUUUGUACGGAACGAAAAGGUCUCUCUUAAUACGGGGGACUCAUGACGGUACCGUAAGAAUAAGCACCGGCUAACUACGUGCCAGCCGCCGCGGUAA